rnacentral:rRNA from 1 species
AGCUUGCGGUUUAAUUGGAUUCAACGCCGGAAAUCUUACCGGGACCGACAGCAAUAUGAAGGCCAGGCUGAAGACUUUGCCGGAUUAGCUGAGAGGUGGUGCAUGGCCGUCGUCAGUUCGUACUGUGAAGCAUCCUGUUAAGUCAGGCAACGAGCGAGACCCACGCCCACAGUUGCCAGCGUACUCUCUGGAGUGACGGGUACACUGUGGGACCGCCGCUGCUAAAGCGGAGGAAGGAAUGGGCAACGGUAGGUCAGUAUGCCCCGAAUAUCCCGGGCUACACGCGAGCUACAAUGGUUGGUACAAUGGGUAUCUACCCCGAAAGGGGACGGGAAUCUCCUAAAACCAAUCUUAGUUCGGAUUGAGGGCUGCAACUCGCCCUCAUGAAGCUGGAAUCCGUAGUAAUCGCGUUUCAACAGAACGCGGUGAAUACGUCCCUGCUCCUU